rnacentral:rRNA from 1 species
CAGCAGCCACGGUAAUACGAAGGGGGCUAGCGUUGUUCGGAAUCACUGGGCGUAAAGCGCACGUAGGCGGACUUUUAAGUCAGGGGUGAAAUCCCAAGGCUCAACCUUGGAACUGCCUUUGAUACUGGAAGUCUUGAGUUCGGGAGAGGUGAGUGGAACUGCGAGUGUAGAGGUGAAAUUCGUAGAUAUUCGCAAGAACACCAGUGGCGAAGGCGGCUCACUGGCCCGAUACUGACGCUGAGGUGCGAAAGCGUGGGGAGCAAACAGGAUUAGAUACCCGCGUAGUCCCUGUCUCUUAUAC